AAGACUGCCAGUGAGAGCGCGCCUCUAUUCUGCGGGGGAAAUUCUCCACCUCUUAAAAGCAGCCGCAAUGGAGUU